rnacentral:lncRNA from 1 species
GCAUCUCUUCUGACCAUUCCAGGGCGUUUUUAUGGGACGGCCUUCCCUUGCUCACCCAGCCUCUUCUUUAUUUUCUUCUGCUUUGUGAAAGUGGGUUAAACAGCACUCGGCUUUGUGAGGAACACGGCCAACAAAUGAGAUAUCAAACGCAGCUUCCUGUGUAAGAGAUCAGACUCCGCCGGGCACACACGCCGGGCUCUGCUGGAGCUCCUGGGCUCUGCAGCCAGCUUCAUUUAGGAUUCAUAAAUACUUUUGCGCGCUCCCGCACAUACAGCCGCCGAAGGAAUUUCAUUCUGUAUCAUCUGCUUUCAAAUGCAACAAGAGAAUCUUUCCCCUGGAUCCUGUUCACCUGGAGCCAGCUUCUAGAACCCUGAAUUGGUCGCUGUUCCUCAGCUUCUCCUGGAAGUUUGCUGGGAUCCCCUGAGAUACAUGAAUCUGACCUCAGUGGCCAUUUCCACAUGGUUCAGGAAUUUUGUUGUCUACCCAAGAUUCAUAUUCAAAGACCUCCAGCCCC